rnacentral:rRNA from 1 species
UAUACAACUUUCAGCAACGGAUCUCUUGGCUCUCGCAUCGAUGAAGAACGCAGCGAAAUGCGAUAAGUAAUGUGAAUUGCAGAAUUCAGUGAAUCAUCGAAUCUUUGAACGCACCUUGCACUCCUUGGUAUUCUGAGGAGCAUGCCUGUUUGAGUGUCAUUAAAUUCUCAAC